rnacentral:lncRNA from 1 species
CGGCCUCGUCGCGGUCUCAGGAGGCAACCAGUAAACCGACCGCCUCAGCCAUUCACGCGGCAUGAAGACGGAGCUGAAAUAUCAAGCAAGCCGCUUAAACUAACCAGUGCAUCAACCAUCUGAUGCUUAUGACUUCGAUUCGAUUUCGUGAGGCAGCGACCAAAACGCCUUGACAUCUAAAAUUAGAGUCGCUGCUAUUGUGAUUCUUCUUUGUAGGUAUGAAGCGACUUUGAAGUGGCCGGCUAAGAUGAGACCGACUGGUCUUUCAGUUAUGUCGAUUUGAAGUCAAUUUUAACAUUAGGUUUACCUAAUGUAACUCACAAUCUGAUCAUUUCCUCGAUCAAACAAGUAUGUAUAUUGACGUGGUUGGCUUUAUGUAUGUAUCUUGAUUCUUUAAAAGAAUUGAUUUUGAUACAUUAAUUUUCCAAAAUUACACUUCUCAUAUCUAGUGAUGAAUCUAAUCAAGGGUGAGGAUGGAUAUGUGCUAUAGUUGCUUGGAACUUCAUUCUGCAGCAACCCACAAAGAAAAUGCACAAUUAAUAUCCAUUUAUUACCAAACAUAUCGCAGAGUAGAUGCCUCUUCCACUAUACUGAAGUUUAGAAGUGUUGAUUUUUUUAGCAGAUAAAGGCGUAAAACCAGGGUAUCUGAGUGGAUUGGCUUACUCAUGAAAGUUUUGGAUUUCUGUUGUAUUUUUAAAUAAAGAGUGCUUGGUACUAUGGUUUAUUGCAUUCAAACAAAAGAGUGUCUUCAUCCAUAAUGUGUUGACAUUUGUUUGUAAAUAAAUUUUACAUGUCAAGUUCGUUUAUAUACCUACUAAAUACAUAUUCGAAGUUAGUUUUCUGCUGUCA